rnacentral:rRNA from 1 species
GACGAACGCUGGCGGCGUGCCUAAUACAUGCAAGUCGAACGCAGAGGGGACGGGUGAGAAACACGCGGGUAACCUCCCAUCAGAGGGGAUAACACUUGGAAACAGGUGCUAAACCGAUACUGAUGGAUGGACCCGCGGUGACUUAGCUAGUGGGUGAGGUAACGGCUCACCAAGGCCACGAUGCAUAGCCGAACUUAGGGUGUGAUCGGUCACUGGGGGGCUAGGACACGGCCCAGACUCCGACGGGAGACAGCAGUAGGGCAUCUUCGGCAAUGAGCGAAAGUCUAUCCGGGCAACGCCGCGUGAGUGAAGAAGAUUUUCGGAUCGUAAAACUCUGUUGUUAGAGAAGCGGUAUCUAACCAGAAAGCCACGGCUAACUACGUGCCAACAGCCGCGGUAAUUC